GGCUGGGGCAGGCCCUGGUUUAAAUUAGCGCCGUCCUGUCCAAUCUGACAGUAGCGACAUGAACCUGCGCUGUCUGAAUCUGCCGCCCAGAUAGGGACUGGAAGGGACUGGGAAUGCCGAGAUUGUUUUCCUUCGGACCCUAUGGAAGCCCACACGGUGGGGAUUGUCUGCGGUGACAGCCCUAACACUUCCCAGAGCCGAGGACCCCAGUAUAGAAAUGGCAUUGCCCACCCUGAAAGUGAGAAGUUCCUGAUGCCUGAAAAGGCUUGGAUUGUAUUGAGCUGGGGUUUGUUUGUGCUCAAGGAAGAAAAAUCUCUCUGGAAAUGCCAAACCUGACCUCAGUUGUACAAAAUUUAGUGAAGAAAUGGUGGUGAUGAUGAUGAUAACGAUGAUGAUGAUGAAAAUGAAGCAGAAGAGGAAGAAGAAAAAGAAGAAAAAGAGGAAGAAGAGGAAGAAGAGAGACAGAAAAUCUGGUUCAAAUCUAUUGACUCCUUUUGAGCAAGUUAUUCUCUAGGCCUCAGUUUCUUUGUCUGUCGUAGAAGACUGGCUCACAAAUCUCUAAAGCCAGAUUCACAUAUAUGACUGUUUGCUGGCCAUAUUUUUGAACUCUUCCUUGUCUUCUAAAAAAAAAAAAUCAAAACAAAAAAAGUAGAUCCUUUGCAUUUACUUUGUACAUAUUUUACAUUUAUUAAUCUAUAAAUAUGUUGUCCUCUCUCUCCCAGCAAAACGAAGUUUUUUGAAGGCAGGCAUUCUUUUUUCAUUUUUGUGUUUUUUUUUUUUAUCCCUGACACAUAGUAUAGUGCCUUCUACACAGUAGGUACUUAAUAAAUGCUUGUUGAAUUGAAC
rnacentral:lncRNA from 1 species